CAGUAGCCACGGGAAUACGUAGGGUGCAAGCGUUAAUCGGAAUUACUGGGCGUAAAGCGUGCGCAGGCGGUUAUAUAAGACAGAUGUGAAAUCCCCGGGCUCAACCUGGGAACUGCAUUUGUGACUGUAUAGCUAGAGUACGGCAGAGGGGGGUGGAAUUCCGCGUGUAGCAGUGAAAUGCGUAGAUAUGCGGAGGAACACCGAUGGCGAAGGCAAUCCCCUGGGCCUGUACUGACGCUCAUGCACGAAAGCGUGGGGAGCAAACAGGAUUAGAUACCCCCGUAGUCCCUGUCUCUUAUAC
rnacentral:rRNA from 1 species